GAAAGUAAAUACUAUGGACAAAAUAGACAAAAGAAUAGCAAAGAUAAAUUCAGGUUGUGUAAAUAAUAAAAUCCCAGAAAACAUUACUAGUAAAAAGGUUGCACACACAUCAGAAAUGAAAAAAAAGUUACACAAAUGUCAACAAAGGCAAUGUUAAAGACAACUAACAAUAAAUCUAAUGUGUCAAAAGAAAAAGAUUUAAAAAUUAUGAUG
rnacentral:lncRNA from 13 species